CAGUCGCCGCGGUAAUGCGUAGGUGGCAAGCGUUGUCCGGAAUUAUUGGGCGUAAAGGGCUCGCAGGCGGUUUCUUAAGUCUGGUGUGAAAGCCCCCGGCUCAACCGGGGAGGGUCAUUGGAAACUGGGAAACUUGAGUGCAGAAGAGGAGAGUGGAAUUCCACGUGUAGCGGUGAAAUGCGUAGAGAUGUGGAGGAACACCAGUGGCGAAGGCGACUCUCUGGUCUGUAACUGACGCUGAGGAGCGAAAGCGUGGGGAGCGAACAGGAUUAGAUACCCCCGUAGUCCCUGUCUCUUAUAC
rnacentral:rRNA from 1 species